UAAGACGAGGGGUGCGAACGUUAUUCGGAAUGAUUGGGCGUAAAGGGUGCGUAGGCGGUUUAUCAAGUCAACUGUUAAAUUUCUCAGCUUAACUGGGAGUAUGCGGUAGAAACUGACAAACUAGAGGAUGGAAGAGAGAAGUAGAAUUCUCGGAGUAGCGGUAAAAUGCGUAGAUCUCGAGAGGAACACCGAUGGCGAAGGCAGCUUCUUGGUCCAUUUCUGACGCUGAGGCACGAAAGCGUGGGGAGCAAACAGGAUUAGAUACCCUGGUAGUCCACGCUGUAAACGAUGAUCACUAGACGUUAGUCGCGCUUGCGCGAUUAGUGUCGCAGCUAACGCGUUAAGUGAUCCGCCUGGGGAGUACGGUCGCAAGAUUA
rnacentral:rRNA from 1 species